CUAAAAAUCUAUCGGUCAUAUUUGCACAUGUAAACAAAGGGAACUUGGUGAAAUUCCAAGACAGUCCCCGCUACUGUAAUUCUUGCCUAUUGAAUUAGGUUAAUGGUAAGUCACUUUCAUUUUGAUGGGAAGGCACAUUGUAAAAGAAGAGUCAGGAUACCUUUUUUACAUUUUAUCUUCGG
rfam:Flammeovirga sp. SJP92 Scaffold7_9, whole genome shotgun sequence.